rnacentral:lncRNA from 1 species
UCUCUGCAAAUCCUGCGCAAUUCAGGAUGGGUUUUUUCAUUAUUUUUUUGGCUUCCAGAGCAGAGCCUUGCCAGGCUCUCUCUUUUUAAUUUUUGGGAAUAUUUCUAUUAAAAAUAACUGACAGGCGCCUGCAAAAACAAAUCAUGAUUCAAAGCCUGGAGCAGCUGAACAGCCGGCGGCAUCGCAGCCAGCCAGGCCUUGCGGCGCGGCAGACGCCAAAAGAACCCCCCAAACUUGGUGUUAAUACAGAGGAGCAGGUUUUGGGGGGGGUGGCGAGAAGGAAAAAAAGGAAGGAAAAUGAGUUGUGCGCAUGCACGAUGCACACCUGCACGCGCAUCGCAUGUGCACGCACAACCAGCACACACACACACACACCUGCGCACACAUCGCGUGUGCACGCACAACCAGCACACACACCUGCAUGCACAUCGCGUGUGCACGCACAACCAGUGCGCACACACACCUGCACGCACACAGCAUGUGCAUGCACAACCAGCACACACACACACACACCUGCGCACACAUCGCGUGUGCACGCACAACCAGCACACACACACCUGCACACGCAUCGCAUGUGUACGCACAACCAGCACACACACACACCUGCAUGCACACCGCGUGUGCACGCACAACCAGUGCACACACACACCUGCACGCACAUCGCGUGUGCACGCACGACCAGUGCACACACACACACACACCUGCACGCACAUCGCAUGUACACGCACGACCAGUGCACACACACACACCUGCACGCACAUCGCAUGUGCACGCACAACCAGUGCACACACACACCUGCACGCACAUCGCGUGUGCACGCACGACCAGUGCACACACACACACACACCUGCACGCACAUCGCAUGUACACGCACGACCAGUGCACACACACACACCUGCAGGGACACGCACGCCCACUCCCCCCACACACACACCUGCACGCACAUCGCAUGUGCGCACACAACCAGUGCACACACACACACACCUGCACGCACAUCACACGUGCAAGCACAACCAGUGCACGCACACACACAGAGCUGCAUGCACAUCGCACGUGCACGCACAACCAGCGCACGCUCUGCACGUGCAUGCACAGUCAGCGCACACCCCUCUUGCCCGCGUGCUCUGCAGGCAGGCACAGCAGACGCGCGCGUGCACACCUGGGCACACACCGCGUUGGGAUGUGGCACGCGCGCUUGUGCACACCCCACCCGUGUGGCUGCACACACACACAGCAGCACACGCACGCACCGCCGGACAUGCUNNNNNNNNNNNNNNNNNNNNNNNNNNNNNNNNNNNNNNNNNNNNNNNNNNNNNNNN